AGACUCCAGAAGGAACACAGCCCUGCCAACCCAUUUUGGUCCUCGUCGUGGAACCUAUCCUGCUGAUUUGCAGUUCUUAUUCCAUAUAACUAAUCUCUCCUCCACAAUUCCACCCCUCCUCCAGAAGCCAUGAGCUCCUUGUAGAGACUGUGUCAUGUGUAUCUUUGCGGUAGGAAUGGCAGGAGAGUGGUAUUCUGGAAUUUGGGGACAAAGAAUUUAAGAAGGUAGGAGGAGUCAACAUUGUCAAGUGCUACAGAAAAGUGAGGCAAGAUAAGGACUGAAAAUAGAUCAUUGGAUUUAAGAGGUCCCUAGUGGCCUUGGGAGAAGAUACUCACAUGCAGACGCCAGAGUGGAAGAUGAUGUAGUGGGCUGAUGAGUGAGUGGGAGUUGAAGAAGUGGAGAUAAUGAGCAUAAACACCUCUUUUAAGAGAUGUGUUGGAGAAGAAGAAGAGAGGACAUUCACCUGAGAGGGAAGAGAAGGAGUUUGUUUUUUAGAACCUCAAAAUUUGGAGAGGUAUGUACGCCAAAGCGAAGCAGUCAAAGCAGAAGAGACUAAAGAUAUGAGAAUGGGAAGUGACAGGGAGAUGAAGAUCCAAAAGACAGGGAGGAGGAGAGGGAUUCUGGCGUGCGGACGGAGGCAGAAGAGGAAGCGAGGACGGGGGCUCUGGGAGUAUUUGGUGCAGGGAGAAGAAAAGCGAGGGAGAAGUAAGGAAGGGAGAGACGCAGAAGAGAAAGAGCCCCCACAUCUGGAACACACGGACCAUGUCUGGCUUUGGAUGUUGUUGAGGUUUGGCCCUCUUUAGCUCGAAUUCCUCUGAGCAAAGCUGAUCCCCCUCUGUCCUUCGUGCAAGAAGGUGACCAUCUGCAAGUACGAAGAGGGGCCUCACCAGACACCAAAUCUGCAUCAUGAUCUUGGACUUCCCAGCCUCCAGAACUGAGAGAAAUAAAUAUUUGUUGUUUAAGCCCCGGAGUCUAGGGUAUUUUGAUAGAGCAGCCCGAACUGCCUAGCACUGUCUCCAGCUGCUUCCACUCUUGUCCC
rnacentral:lncRNA from 1 species